rnacentral:tRNA from 1 species
UCGUCAAUAGCUCAAUGGUAGAGCGAUCGACUUCUAACUAACUAGUAGUAGGUUCGAUCCUACUUGGAGAG